GGAAUUUUCCGCAAUGGGCGAAAGCCUGACGGAGCAAUACCGCGUGAGGGAAGACUGCCUAUGGGUUGUAAACCUCUUUUUUCAGGGAGGAAUAAAAUGACGUGUACCUGAAGAAUAAGCAUCGGCUAACUCCGUGCCAGCAGCCGCGGUAAGACGGAGGAUGCAAGUGUUAUCCGGAAUCACUGGGCGUAAAGCGUCUGUAGGUGGUUUAAUAAGUCAACUGUUAAAUCUCGAGGCUCAACUUCAAAAUCGCAGUCGAAACUAUUAGACUAGAGUAUAGUAGAGGUAAAGGGAAUCUCCAGUGGAGCGGUGAAAUGCGUAGAUAUUGGAAAGAACACCGAUGGCGAAAGCACUUUACUGGGCUAUUACUAACACUCAGAGACGAAAGCUAGGGUAGCAAAUGGGAUUAGAUACCCCUGUAGUC
rnacentral:rRNA from 1 species